UUCCAGCUCUCCGAGUGGUAGGGAUGUUUAUUGGGCUUAAAGCGUCCGUAGCCGGCUUAGCAAGUCUCCUGUUAAAUUCAGCGACCUAAUCGUUGAGCCGCGGGAGAUACUACUAGGCUAGGAGGCGGGAGAGGUCAACGGUACUUCCGGGGUAGGGGUGAAAUCCUAUAAUCCCGGGAGGACCACCAGUGGCGAAGGCUGUUGACUAGAACGCGCUCGACGGUGAGGGACGAAAGCUGGGGGAGCGAACCGGAUUAGAUACCCGGGUAGUCCCAGCUGUAAACGAUGCGAGCUAGGUGUUGGGGUGGCUACGUGCCACUUCAGUGCCGCAGGGAAGCCAUUAAGCUCGCCGCCUGGGGAGUACGGCCGCAAGGCUGAAACUUAAGGAAUUGGCGGGGGAGCACCACAAGGCGUGAAGCUUGCGGUUC
rnacentral:rRNA from 1 species